UACGAAGGGGGCUAGCGUUGUUCGGAUUUACUGGGCGUAAAGGGCUCGUAGGCGGCCAACUAAGUCGGACGUGAAAUCCCCAGGCUCAACCUGGGAACUGCGUCCGAUACUGGAUGGCUUGAAUCCGGGAGAGGGAUGCAGAAUUCCAGGUGUAGCGGUGAAAUGCGUAGAUAUCUGGAGGAAUACCGGUGGCGAAGGCGGCAUCCUGGACCGGCAUUGACGCUGAGGAGCGAAAGCCAGGGGAGCAAACGGG
rnacentral:rRNA from 1 species